rnacentral:rRNA from 1 species
UGGGGAAUCUUGGACAAUGGGCGAAAGCCUGAUCCAGCGACGCCGCGUGGGGGAUGAAGCCCUUCGGGGUGUAAACCCCUGUUGCGAGGGAGGAAUAAGGCCUGGAGGAAAUGCCAGGCCGAUGACUGUACCUCGCGAGGAAGCCCCGGCUAACUACGUGCCAGCAGCCGCGGUAAUACGUAGGGGGCGAGCGUUACCCGGAUUCACUGGGCGUAAAGCGGGUGUAGGCGGCUCGGUAAGUCGGGUGUGAAAUCCCACAGCUCAACUGUGGAAUUGCGCCCGAAACUGCUGAGCUUGGGGCCGGUAGAGGGAGACGGAACUGCCGGUGUAGGGGUGAAAUCCGUAGGUAUCGGCAGGAACGCCGGUGGGGAAGCCGGUCUCCUGGGCCGCGCCCGACGCUGAGACCCGAAAGCUAGGGGAGCAAACC